CAGGCGGCCGUGCUUGUCUGUGAUAACCUCGUGCCGAUCGCACGAUCCUGUGACGGCGACAACGCAUUCGGAUGUCUGCCCUAUCAACUUUCGAUGCAAUUUUUCACGCCUACCAUGGUGACCACGGGUAACGGGGAAUCAGGGUUCGAUUCCAGAAAGGGAGCCUGAGAAAUGGCUACCACAUGUAAGGAAGGCAGCAGGCGCGCAAAUUACCCACUCCCAACGCGGGGAGGUAGUGA